rnacentral:lncRNA from 1 species
GUGCCGGGACCACGGAAGCCCUCGACGUCAAGCUGCCUUUGAAGCCUGGACGUGAAUACACACUGUUUGCCAGCGCGCGUGGAGUUGGAGACUUCGGGGAAGUUCUCGUAGGUCCAGAGACAUCGGUCACAUUGGAAACAGAUCCUCUGGCUCCCGCUAACUUAUCGGCUGGUACCAUCGACCCAACCAGCGUUAUGAUCUCCUGGCAGGCUGCGAGCCCUGCCCGAAGAUUUAUG